AUUGAACGCUGGCGGCAGGCCUAACACAUGCAAGUCGAACGAGUGGCGGACGGGUGAGUAAUGUCUGGGAAACUGCCCGAUGGAGGGGGAUAACUACUGGAAACGGUAGCUAAUACCGCAUACCAUCGGAUGUGCCCCGAUGGGAUUAGCUAGUAGGUGGGGUAAUGGCUCACCUAGGCGACGAUCCCUAGCUGGUCUGAGAGGAGGACCAGCAACACUGGAACUGAGCAAGGGUCCAGACUCCUAGGGGGGGCAGCAGGGGGGAAUAUGGCAAAAUGGGCGCAAGCGUGAGGCAGCCAUGCCGCGUGUAUGAAGAAGGCCUUCGGGUUGUAAAUUACUUUCAGCGGGGAGGCGUUACCCGCAGAAGAAGCACCGGCUAACUCCGUGCAAGCAGCCGCGGUAUAC
rnacentral:rRNA from 1 species